AGAGCGUGUAGGCGGCCAGGUAGGUCUGCUGUGAAAACUCGAGGCUCAACCUCGAGACGUCGGCGGAAACCAUCUGGCUAGAGUCCGGAAGAGGAGAGUGGAAUUCCUGGUGUAGCGGUGAAAUGCGCAGAUAUCAGGAAGAACACCCGUGGCGAAGGCGGCUCUCUGGGACGGUACUGACGCUGAGACGCGAAAGCGUGGGGAGCGAACAGGAUUAGAUACCCUGGUAGUCCACGCCGUAAACGAUGGGUGCUAGGUGUGGGCGGUGUCGACUCCGUCCGUGCCGAAGCUAACGCAUUAAGCACCCCGCCUGGGGAGUACGGCCGCAAGGCUAAAACUCAAAGGAAUUGA
rnacentral:rRNA from 1 species